AUUGAACGCUGGCGGCAGGCCUAACACAUGCAAGUCGAGCGGAGCGGCGGACGGGUGAGUAAUGCCUAGGAAUCUGCCUGGUAGUGGGGGAUAACGUCCGGAAACGGGCGCUAAUAUCGCAUACUCUCAGAUGAGCCUAGGUCGGAUUAGCUAGUUGGUGGGGUAAAGGCCUACCAAGGCGACGAUCCGUAACUGGUCUGAGAGGUUGAUCAGUCACACUGGAACUGAGACAAGGUCCAGAAGCCUACGGGAGGCAGGAGUUGUGGAGAGUGAACAAUGGGCGAAAACCUGAUGCAGCGACGCCGCGUGGGGGAUGAAGGCUUUAGGGGUGUAAACCUCUAUCGCUAUCGAACGGGUAGGUGGAGAAGAAGCGCCGGCUAACUACGUGCCAGCAGCCGCGGUAAUAC
rnacentral:rRNA from 1 species